rnacentral:rRNA from 1 species
GACGAACCGUGCGAACGUUAUUCGGAAUCACUGGGCUUAAAGCGCGUGUAGGCGGGCCGGCACGUCGGUCGCUGAAAUCCCCCGGCUCAACCGGGGAAGGGGCGCCGAUACGACCGGCCUGGAGGGGGUAGGGGGCGCUGGAACUCACGGUGGAGCGGUGAAAUGCGUUGAGAUCGUGAGGAACGCCCGCGGCGAAAGCGAGCGCCUGGACCCUUUCUGACGCUGAGACGCGAAAGCCAGGGGAGCGAACGGG